AUGAGCUUCCGGGACGAGAGCGGCGGGGAGGACGGCAGCGGGGGCCGGUCGUCCUCGGCGUCCGACCUGCGCAAGCCCUUCCUGCACACGGGCAGCUGGUACAGGAUGUCCGCGGCCGGCGGCGGCGCCAUGGACCGCCUCGGCUCCUCCGCCUACGGCCUCCGCGACAGCUCCAUCUCCGCCCUGCUCUGCACCCUCAUCGUCGCGCUCGGCCCCAUCCAGUUCGGCUUCACCUGCGGCUACUCCUCGCCCACCCAGGACGCCAUCAUGGCCGACCUCGGCCUCACCCUCUCCGAGUUCUCUUUAUUCGGAUCCCUGUCCAACGUCGGGGCCAUGGUGGGCGCCAUUGCCAGUGGCCAGAUCGCCGAGUACAUCGGCCGUAAAGGGUCUCUGAUGAUCGCCGCGAUCCCGAACAUCAUUGGGUGGCUUGCAAUAUCAUUUGCAAAUGAUUCCUCAUUCUUGUUCAUGGGCCGUUUGCUGGAAGGAUUUGGGGUCGGUGUGAUAUCCUACACGGUGCCAGUUUAUAUAGCAGAAAUUGCUCCACAAAACAUGAGAGGAGCUCUUGGUUCGGUCAAUCAGCUCUCUGUUACAAUCGGUAUAUUGCUUGCCUACACAUUAGGCAUGUUUGUUCCCUGGAGAAUUCUUUCUGUUCUUGGCAUUUUACCUUGCUCAAUCCUGAUACCUGGGCUGUUCUUCAUCCCUGAAUCACCAAGGUGGCUGGCAAAAAUGGGAAAGAUAGAAGAUUUUGAAUCUUCGCUGCAGGUCCUGCGCGGAUUUGAAACUGAUAUCUCAGCAGAAGUAAAUGAAAUAAAGAGAUCAGUUGCCUCAUCUAGGAGGAGGACAACCAUACGAUUUGCAGAGAUCAAACACAAGAGAUAUAGUGUUCCUCUUAUGAUAGGAAUUGGUCUCCUUAUACUUCAGCAACUAAGUGGUGUCAACGGCAUUUUCUUCUAUGCUGCAAGUAUCUUCAAAGCUGCUGGUCUUAAAAAUAGUAAUCUAGCAACAUGUGGUUUGGGGGCUGUUCAGGUGGUUGCUACUGGAAUAACAACCUGGUUGACUGACAAAGCUGGUCGACGGCUACUUCUCAUUAUCUCUGCUACAGGGAUGACAAUCAGUCUUCUCGUUGUUUCUGUGUCAUUUUUUGUGAAGGACAACAUAGAGGAAGCUUCUCAUUUACACUUUGUGAUGAGUAUGCUUUCACUGGCUGGACUUGUGGCAUUUGUGCUUGCAUUUUCCCUUGGCAUGGGAGCCAUCCCAUGGAUUAUAAUGUCUGAGAUUCUUCCUGUUAACAUCAAGAGCCUUGCCGGAAGCACCGCCACCCUUGCAAACUGGAUGACGUCGUGGCUCAUCACGAUGACCGCGAGCUUGAUGCUAAACUGGAGCAACGGAGGAACCUUUGCUAUAUACGCCGCGGUGUCCAUGGGCACCCUCCUCUUUGUGUGCCUGUGUGUGCCGGAGACCAAGGGAAGGACCCUGGAAGAGAUCGCGUUCUCGUUCCGCUGA
rnacentral:rRNA from 1 species